rnacentral:misc_RNA from 1 species
AACGCACCUUGCGCUCCUUGGUAUUCCUUGGAGCAUGCCUGUUUGAGUAUCAUGAGCAAAUCUCAAAGUCGAACCUUUUGUUAAUUCAAUUGGUUUUCGCUUUGGACUUGGAGGUCUUGCAGAUUUCACCGUCUGCUCCUCUUAAAUGCAGUAGCUGGAUCUCAGUAUUAUGCUUGGUUCCACUCGGCGUGAUAAGUAUCACUCGCUGAGGACACUGGUAAAAAGGUGGCCAGGAAAAUACCGAUUGAACCGCUUCUAACGGUCUAUUAACUUAGACAAUUACCCCCCCUUAAGUUUGAUCUCAAAUCAGGUAGGACUACCCGCUGAACUUAA